rnacentral:rRNA from 1 species
CAGUCGCCGCGGGAAUACAGAGGGUGCGAGCGUUAAUCGGAUUUACUGGGCGUAAAGCGUGCGUAGGCGGCUUCUUAAGUCGGAUGUGAAAUCCCUGAGCUUAACUUAGGAAUUGCAUUCGAUACUGGGAAGCUAGAGUAUGGGAGAGGAUGGUAGAAUUCCAGGUGUAGCGGUGAAAUGCGUAGAGAUCUUGAGGAAUACCGAUGGCGAAGGCAGCCAUCUGGCCUAAUACUGACGCUGAGGUACGAAAGCAUGGGGAGCAAACAGGAUUAGAUACCCCCGUAGUCCCUGUCUCUUAUAA